rnacentral:rRNA from 1 species
UACAGAGGGUGCAAGUGUUGUUCGGAAUUAUUGGGCGUAAAGGGUGCGUAGGCGGUUUGGUCAGUCAGGUGUGAAAGCCCUAGGCUUAACCUAGGAACUGCAUUUGAUACUACCAAGCUAGAGUGUGAAAGAGGAGAGCGGAAUUCCCGGUGUAGAGGUGAAAUUCGUAGAUAUCGGGAGGAACACCAGUGGCGAAAGCGGCUCUCUGGGUCAACACUGACGCUCAGUGCACGAGAGCGUGGGGAGCAAACAGG